UACAGAGGUCUCAAGCGUUGUUCGGAUUCAUUGGGCGUAAAGGGUGCGUAGGCGGCGCGGUAAGUCGGGUGUGAAAUCUCGGAGCUUAACUCCGAAACUGCAUUCGAUACUGCCGUGCUUGAGGACUGGAGAGGAGACUGGAAUUUACGGUGUAGCGGUGAAAUGCGUAGAUAUUGGGAAGAACACCGGUGGCGAAGGCGGCGACUCUGGACCGAGACUGACGCUGAGGCGCGAAAAGCGUGGGGAGCAAACAGG
rnacentral:rRNA from 1 species